rnacentral:rRNA from 1 species
UACGUAGGGAGCAAGCGUUGUCCGGAAUCAUUGGGCGUAAAGCGCGCGUAGGUGGCUUCGUAAGUCCGUUGUGAAAGUCAAAGGCUCAACCUUUGAAUGCCGAUGGAUACUGCGGAGCUAGAGUACGGAAGAGGCGAGUGGAAUUCCUGGUGUAGCGGUGGAAUGCGCAGAUAUCAGGAGGAACACCAAUAGCGUAGGCAGCUCGCUGGGACGUUACUGACACUAAGGCGCGAAAGCGUGGGGAGCGAACAGG